rnacentral:lncRNA from 1 species
UCCAAACUCAGCAAUUCAAUCCGAGUCCCUCACAGCGUGAGUAAAACGCACGAAUACCCCUCCAUGCGCGAUCUCACGCGAAACGGUACAUAAAAUGUCGCGACUUUUCCAAAAUUACCGUUUUGCCAUCACCGACCUCUCCUCGAUCAACGCGCAAUCUUCGCAGAUCCGUCCGUCAGAUUUGCGAACGGAUCGCACCAGUGCGAUCAGCACGACGGAGACAACAAAGCUACGGUUUCGAUUCAUCUCGAUCGACUAUGGAUUCACGACAAAAUCUAAUCUUUCUUCCAACAGAAGAAACAACACACAAAUACAUAUAAAACAUGUAUUUCUGAAUUUUCUCGAAAUCCGUGCGUCAAACUCAAAAUCUACCAGCGCCAAAAGUUUCAGAACAGCUGGACCGGUCGAAACGAGCUAUUGGACUGCUAUGAACGGAGUCCGAUACGAGCCUGAAGCCAACUUCACAUCGUGGCUUCUCCGGAAAACCGAGUUACUAUUCACUUUAAGUGAAACUUGGAGAUUGCGUACCUUCUCCGUUCUAGCUCAGUUUCUCCUGAAACUUGACAAGUGCUUAUGUAAUUAAAUUACACACAUAAAUAUCAUCAACAAAGAGUUUAGUUGCACUGUCAAAAUCUCAGUCCUUACAACUUUUCUAGAAAAUAACAACUGGCCGCGGUGGAUCAGACCGCUGGUGUUCGUGAAAUACGAACGAGUAGUGGCGAUCGAUACUGAUAUGCUCAAUAGCUAACUGUCGGCAACUAGCUGACAAUCCUAUCUCUCAGGGUAUACCGACUAUGUAGGUCACCAAGUAGUCCAACCGACCAAGUAGGUCAUAAAGCUAGAUGCAAUGAACUGACCGAAUAGGUCAUAGUACGAGAUACAAGAACCGACAGAGUAGGUCACAAAUCUCACAUGUAAUCAUAAACCUGCUCUACUUCUAUUCAUGAUGCUAGAAAUGUAAACAAACCAAGUAGAGCGAUAAAGAGGUAAUAAAGGUGCAAGGCUCAACAUAUAUAAUGCAAAAUGAUAGUAGAAGGGUGGAAAGGAUGUCACCGAGCGUGCACCACUGUACCGACGUCCGGUCGAAGUACCCACCUGUACGUAUGUAGCACUGGUCUCCCGACUGCGGAAGAAUAUCAACCGGACCUAUGAAGGGUCCACCGGGUUAGAAUCCAACCCACGAAUAAGAACCACUAACUCACAAUCCCACCUGUAAACCCACGGGAAUCGGUUUCCUAAAAUCGAUUGCCGUAAUUCGCCGGAAGUCUCGAAAAUAGCACCGGGACUCCGCUGGGACCAAUGAACUGUCCCGGAAGUCAUCGACUCGUGCCACGAGUCAUCCGCUGCCACUAAAUACAAUAAUUUGUGUGACUAGGCAGCAAACACGUAUCCUCACAUCGAAACGAUUAUCGUCGGAUAAUCGUUCUGUUCCGGGUUCCCGGAAGUGUCAAUUUCGAUACCGGAACACACCGUCGCUCACCCGUCGUUUCCGAACCCUCGAAACGAUGCGAGUGACCAGCCAACAAGGCUCAGCGACCAAAUAAUUUUCCGUAGGGCACCGUCGGAAGGAUUUCGAUCUGAAACCGCGUUCCGUCGGUGGAUUUCGCCGAAAAACGCACCAGAAAUCGACAUCUGAUUCCCGAAAAGGCUUGGGGCCUUGAGCAACCAAUCUAGAGGUCACCUGCCUUCCGCACACACUGCCCACAGCAACCAUGAAAUGUAAAAUUACAUAAAAACCCCUAUGACUGCAUAAAAUCACAUCAUUUUAUGUGAUUUUCGGGGUUUUACGGCCCGACAGCGCAAACCGAGGACUUUCAAGCCUGGCCGAGACACCCGCUGACAGGUCUCGACGUGUCGGAGGCCGUGCUCACGAUUCGGAGCAUGGCCGGCCAUUGUAGAGAGCGCGGGAGCGACGCAAAAUUCAGUGAACAGCGCGCAGUGCCUAAACAGUGUCUUACACGCAAACCGAGGCUUUGCUGACCCCAAAGGAGGUGAGCACGAUGAUCGUCACAGAUCAGGGAUCGUCGUGCUCAUCUCCGGUAGCGUUGGGGUGCCCUCGGAUUGCCGGAACAGGCACCCGAACCCGAAACAGUGCAAAAAUGACUAACUUAAGAUUAUCGGAACCAGUGGGAGCACAGGAUGGUCGGUGGCGGUCGGACGGUGGGCGGGCCAGUCAGUAGGGGUCGGGGCUCGCGCUGGCCGAUGGCGGGAGGCGGCCGGUGGCGCGGUGUAGAGCCACAAGCCCGCACGGCUCGGCUCGAUUUAGGGAGGCAUCGGCAGCUAGGCGGCGGUCGGGGGAGCUCCGGGGCGACGACGACUGGUCGCCGGAGGCUGAGGGAGGGCGGCGCGGCCGAUAGUGGACGGUGGUGGCGCGUAGAGACGGUGUGGGCCUAAGCUUGGCUCGAUCCUGCAUCGGGUGGCCCUAGGGGGACAAGGCGGCGGCCGGGGGCCUGCGAGGAUGACGGCGUCGGCGGCGAGGGGUCGCCGGUGGCCCAGGAGGGCGGCGCGGCCAACCCCGAAGUGGCAGCAGCUCGUGGCCGCGAAGGAAUGGAGGCCCGAUAUGUGGAUGACUCUGGGUGGCUCAUAGCAGAGAGGAGGGGAACCAAGGUGGAGAAAAAUACAAUGCCGGCCCGUUUUUCGGCGGCCGGGGUGCGCGCGCGGCUAGGGUAGGGAGGUGUUGUUGACGGCUAGGCCGUAGCAAGGUAGCUGAGACAACUAGGGCUAGGGUUUCGUGCAUGAAACCCUAGUUGCACUAUUAUAUAUACCAUGUUUAUUUUUGCAGAAAGGUCCUCCAAAGCUACAUAUUUCUAGCCAACUCCCUCACAGCCCGAACGUUUUACGCUUACUCACCUCGACAUUCGAAAUCGCGCAAAAUGGUCAUAAAAUGUGAGGCUUUUCGCAAAUUUUUCGUUUUGCCAAUUUCGACCCUUGAGCGAACUUUAUGCGAUUCCUGGAGAUUCGUCCGUCGGAUUUCCGAUCGGAUCGCGCCAGCGCGUUCAGCACGACUGGGCAUCGACUUUACAAUUUUGUUUCGUUGUCGCCGAUUUGCGACGAAACCAAACCCUCUCCGCGUUCCACCAAUAACAAUAUAUAUAUAGAGAGAGAGAGAGAGAGAGACAGAGAGAGAGAGAGACUCUUGUACUUUCGAAAGUACGGAGACCUCCGUGCUUGUAAGUUGUUUUCGAUGAUAGGAAAUCCGAUUCGACGAUUGGCUCCGUUAAGUAUAAUCUACCAUAUUGGAACUAUUUAGAAACCAAAUUUUAUAAUUUUUUGACAUCAUUUACCAAGCGAUCAAAAGGUCUCAAAAAUGACUAUUUUAAUGGCCGAUGUGGCACGUUUUUAAAUUCAACGGUGUAGAAGUAUCUAUAUUAGAUGAAAAUUUAAUAGAAAAUUCUACUUAACAUCAAUAGCAAGACCAAUACUUCCAAUUUGAAAUUUGAGUCCUUUAUCACUAUUUUUUAUGAGAUUUUUAUUUUCAGCCGUUCAUUUUGAGGCUACUCGUUUACUAGACAAACGAAGUCAAAAAAUUAUGAAAUUUGGUUUCUAGGUAGUUCUAAUAACGUAGAUCAUGUCUAACGGAACCGAUCGCCUAAUCAGAUGUCCCAUUAUUGAAAACAACUUACAAGUACGGAGGCUUUGGUAUUUUUGAAAGCAUAGGAGCCUAGCUCUAUAUAUAUAUAUAUAUAUAUAUAUAUAUAUAUAUAUAUUUAAAUUUGAAUUUUUAAAAAUUCCAAAUUUGAAUUUCCUUUAUUAUCAAGUUUCGGAUAUUACAUUCUUGCUACCGCUGCUCCUUUCUUGUUCUUGUUGCCACGAUUGCCGAUGAAGCUUGCUAGAUGCCCACGAACAGAGAGAGAGGAUAGGGGAACACGGGAGGGAGAGGAGAGGGCGGUAGAAUGGAUUUCAUUAGUGUUUUUUUAGGUUUCUUUUAUGAUCUUUUAAUUAUCUUAUCGGGUUAAAACAUAAAAUUUAAAUCUGAAACACGACAACCUGAAAACUUGAAUCCAAAACCCUAUAAUAUUAAAUAUUGCGAGGUGUUCACCUUACGCCCGCCUCGUGCUUUGCUUGAGGCCACACCUUACGCUUUGCCUGAGGCGCGCCCCUUAGGGCCUAGGCGCGCUCCUCAGGAAUAGCGAUGUGCCUUGCUAUUGCUGAGGUGUUGAGGCCCGCGCCUCGCGCCUAGGCAUCGAGGCACGCGCCUCAGGCGUGCCUGAGACGCGCCUCAGGCAUGCGCCUCAAGCGCAACUUAGGCCCACUGGGGAGUUUUGCUCGUGUUCGACGUGGUGAAUUCUACGAAGGGCUGAGUACUUGUCCGGCCGUGCUUGUGCUGUAUCCUUCAGCUCUCUGAACUUUCGGCAUCAUAUAUUUAUUCUCCUACACAGCAUUGAGAAUCGCUAUUCUUCUAUUAACGGUUAUCUCGAGAUAACUGGUUAAGAAGGGGGGAUAAUAGUUCCACCUUAUUCCUCUAUUAAUUAAAUUAUAAAUAAUUAUACAAUAUAUCUAAUUAGUAACUAACUAAUUUUAUUAAUAACUAAUUAACCACUUGAUUUAUUAAAUUAAUAUAUAUUUAAUUAACUAGAGCAAAUAAUUAAUUAUUUAAUAUGCUUAUUCAACAAUUAACUAAUAUCUAGAGUAGGGCUACUAUACUCUUAUGAGUAUAGAACCUUUACUACUCAUAAGUUGUUUUCGAUGUUGGAGUUUUCGAAUCGACGAUCCACACCGUUAAAUAUGAUCUAGAGUAUUUGAAACUUUUAGAAAAUAAAUUUCAUAAAUUUUCGAAAUCAUUAUAAAGUCCAUCAAGCGAGUAUAAAAUGAAUGGUUAAAAUCGAAUGACAUCCUAAAAAUGGAUGAUCGGGUCCUUCAAUUUAAAAUUGGAGUUAUUGAUCUUUAUUUAGGUAGUGAAUAGAAUUUUCUAUCAAAAAUUCAACCUAUUUCGAUUUUUUUUCACCGUUAAACUAGCAAAUAUCUCAUACCGGCCGUUAAAAAUUGUCAAUUUUGUGACCUUUUGAUCGUUAGGUAAAUGAUAUCGAAAAAUUAUAAAAUUUAAUUUCUAGAAGUUUUAAAUGCUCUAGAAAAUGUUUAACUGUAUGGAUCGUCGAUUCAGAAGCUCUACCAUAAAAAACAACUUAUGAGUACGAGGGCGAUCGUACUCAUAAUAGUAUAGUAGCUGGACUCCUAAUAUCUAUAUAAAUUAACUUAUCUAAUGUAUUUAGUAGAUAUCUAACUAAUUAAAUAACUAAUUAAUUAGUUAACAUAUUAAACUAUUCUUCAUAGUUAAUUAACUAACGUGCUUCUUAUUGUCUUAUACGACAUUCCCAGUUAAUUAAUUAACAUAUUAAAAUAUUAUUUUAUUAAUACUUUAAUGCUUAUUAUUUAGGUAAAAAUAUUUUUAUUUUACAAUUAUAAUUGAUCUUAGUGCUUCUAUUCCAACCUAUACUAAUGUGCAUUUUCUUAUUUCUAUGAAUAAUCCAAUUCUCAUCCAAACACAAUACUGGUAUAAAGUCUGCCUAUCCCAUAAGUUAUACUUAUGCCGGACAUAAGUAUGAACAGCUUAUUCGCAUACCAAACGGUACCUUAAGGAAUAAAGAAUUAAUUUUAGAUACCAAAAAUGUUACUGUGGAGGAAUAGAUAGCUAUGUUUUUAUUUACUUCAUCUAAAAAUGCAACCAAUCAUACUGUCCAAGAGUGUUUUCGGCAUAGCGGUGAAAUUGUAAGUCGACAUUUUCGAUUUGUAUUAGAAGCCAUUAAUUUUAUGUUUUGGAUGAUUAUUUGCACUAAUUAUGAGCUAGUAGCAAGUGAUAGAAGCUAUAAUCAAGCAAAGACUAUUUUGUCAAAAAAUUGUAGCCUACAAUAAAUGGCAAUGAAAUGCUUAAUCAAUAUUGCACUUCUCAAAUACAUGCUUUUGAGACGAAAUCAAUCACUUUCUUAUAAAAUUGAAGAAGGAAAAAGAAGGGAACAACAAAAAACAAAAGACUACAACGCACAACCAAGGGGCUGUCUGAAUGCAUGUGCCUUAGGUGACCACGCAGCUAACAUGGGCAACUUUUGUUACCGAGCGUCCUAAGGUGGCCAGGUUGCCACAAGGGUGGCUAGGUUGCCAUAAGGGCUCUUCCCUGUGGCUGUGACUCUCUAAAGGGCCCACGAUAAGACGGAGGGGACUAUGGUUGCGCUCCCUCUAUGGGGGCCGCACAGCCAUAGGAGGCCUAAGGGGCCUGCAUGACAAAAGAUAGACCCCUUUAUGGCUACGUCUCCUUAGUGUGGCCUCGUAGCCAUAGGGGGUUCCCAUUAUGGCCGCAACCACCUACAAAGGCCAAGUAACCAUAGAAAGCCUUUUGUGGUGCGUGCCCUAGAGAGAGGGAAAGGGGGGAGGGAGGAGCAAUAGGAAAAGUAGCAUCCUGUGCCACUACUGUCGCCGCCAUUAUCUUCACUAGAGGAUUCGUCGCCAUUUUCUGCUUGGGAAGAGAAGAUAGAUGAAGAGAAGGGGUUUUUUUUUGAGUUUUUAGGAAUGGAAGGGAGAGGGUGAAAGAAGGGCUAAAGUGCAUACCCUCUUGAGUUGUAUUAAUGAAUAUAUAUAGUACAAGAGAUUGUCUUACUAUAGUAACAAUGACUACUAUAGUAAGAGUAUAACUAGGAUUACAUACUAUAUAAUCCUACUCUAUAGAAGGCAAUGAUACUACUCUAUAUAAGGCAAUAAAACACAAUAUCCUAAUAUAUCGUAACAUCCUAAUAUGGAUAAAAUAUAUCGUAACAUCCCCCCGCAAGCUAAGCAUCCGGUGGUCGGAUGCGAAGAUUGAGCCGCAAUAUCGAAAACCGAGAGGAUGACAGGGGCUUGGUGAAAAUGUCGGCAAGUUGCUUGUCAGAAGGGAUAUGAAUUAAGGCCAAAUCACCAGACUGAACUUUUUCCCGCAAAAAUUGAUGAUCAAGUUCAAUGUGCUUCGUGCGAGCAUGGAGAACAGGAUUGGCCGCAAGGUAGGUGGUGCUGAGAUUAUCGCAAUAAAUACUGAUAGAGCGCCAUAAGAAAACACGAAGGUCACGAAGGAGACGACGAAUCCAGACUGUCUCAGCAAGUGUGUAGGCUACAGCACGAUACUCUGCUUCAGAACUAGAACGAGAAAUGGUGGGUUGUUUCUUAGCGGACCAGGAGAUAAGAUUUGGCCCAAGAAAAAUGCAAUAUCCAGAAGUAGAGCGACGUGUAUCGGGGCAACCAGCCCAAUCAGCAUCAGCGAAGGCCACAAGAGAAGGAUUGUCACAGCGAGAGAUAGGAAGGCCAUAAGUCAGCGUCCCCCGAAUAUAACGCAGAAUACGUUUGACCGCUUGCAUGUGUGGUUCACGAGGUGCAUGAAGAUACUGGGCAACAGAGUUGACGGCAUAUGAAAUGUCCGGUCUGGUGAAAGUGAGAUACUGGAGAGCACCAACGAUCUGACGAUAAGUGUAUGGAUCCUCAAGAAGAUGCCCUUCAUGGGAAGAGAGACGAGAUGUUGGCGAAAGAGGAGUAGAAACGGGCUUACUGUCAAGAAAACCAUGUCGCUGAAGCAAUUGAUGCGCAUAUUUUUGUUGAGAUAGAUGAAGACCAGAUGGAGAGCGAUGAACCUCAAUACCCAAAAAAUAAUGCAGCGGUCCGAGAUCCUUCAUGGCAAAUUCGCGUUGUAAAGUAACGAUAAGAGCAUCGAGAAGAGAUGAGGAACUGCCGGUGACAAUAAUAUCAUCAACAUACAAGAGGAGAACAAGAGUGCCAGAGGAAGAAUGACAAACAAACAUUGAGGGAUCAGCAGUGCUGCCAACAAAACCAAUCUCAGAAAGAAAAGAAGUGAAACGCUGAAACCAAGCCCGAGGAGCUUGUUUGAGACCAUAUAUCGCUUUACGUAGGCGGCAAACGUGACUAGGAAGCGAAGGAUGCACAAAGCCAGGUGGUUGUUUCAUAUAAACCUCCUCAGAGAGAGUGCCAUGAAGAAAGGCAUUCUUCACAUCAAGUUGUCGGAGAGACCAUCCAGAGGAGAGAGCGACUGAAAGAACAGUACGAAUAGUGGUCGACUUGACAACCGGAGAAAAAGUCUCAUCAAAAUCAAUGCCUUGUUGUUGUUUGUAACCCUGAGCCACUAGUCGAGCUUUGAGACGCUCAAGAGAGCCAUCCGCCUUCUGUUUGACUUUGUAGACCCAUUUACAGCCAAUAAGAUUGACAGAAGGAGGAGCAGGAACAAGCUCCCAAGUAUCAUUGGUGAGUAAUGCAUCAAAUUCUUCAGCCAUGGCAGCACGCCAAUCUGCAUCCUGAAAAGCUUCAUGAAAAGUGAUAGGCUCAGUAGGAAGAGUAGUAUGUGUAGAAGCUAGGAAGGAGGUAGACCCAGCAAAAUUCUUAGCCAUAGAUCGAGUAAGCAUAGAGUGUGUCCGGAUUGGUAAGGAAGGCUCUGCAGGCUGAGGUGAAGGUGGCCUGUCCGAUGUGGAAGGCGUCAACUCAACAGGAGAAGGUAAAGCUGUAGCAGCAGAAGGUCGGAGGGUGUGUCGUCUGGUAUAGACUCGGAGUUCAGGUGGACCAGCAACAGUGGCAGCAUGUUCAUCACUAACCUGUGUGGCAUCAUGAUUCAAGGUGGAAGGAAAAGUCGAUACAGUCUCAGAUGGUGAAACAGAUGCAUUUGAACUAACAUCCGGAGAAAGGCGUGUGAAGGAAAAACCAGAGAUGGCAUCAAGAGAGGAAGGACUUUCGCCCAAUAAGGGAGGAUUAGAAAGAAAAUGUUGAAACAUUUGAAAAUUUGAGGUAGUGGGGGAAGAUGAGGAAGAAAAUUUGGACAGACAAGAGUAAGGAAAAACAGUUUCAACAAAAGUAACAUGGCGAGAAAUAAAAACUUUACCAGUGCUCGGAUAGAGGCAGCGAAAGCCCUUAUGUUUGUCAGAAAGACCCAAGAAAAUACAAGGAAGUGAUCGGGGAGAGAGCUUGUGAUCUGCAAUGUCCUGAACAUCGGGAUAACACAAACAUCCAAAGACUCUGAUAAGUUGCAAGUCAGGAGAAGCACAACCAUGGAGAAUGUCAUAUGGUGACCGCCCAUUUAAAACAGUAAGAGACGGAAGUCGAUUUACAAGAAAAACAGCAGUUUGAAUGGCCUCAGCCCAAAAACGAGGAGGCAAGCCAGCUUGGAAUAGUAGACUUCUAACAAUGUUAGAUAAAUGCCUAUGUUUUCUCUCAGCAAGGCCAUUUUGUUGAGGAGUGUAAGGACAAGAAAAUCGGUGAAUAAUUCCAUUUUGUGAGCAAAAACUAGAAAACUUGUCAUUUACAAAUUCCGUACCAUUGUCAGAUUGAAAAAUUUUUAUUGAGCUAUGAAAUAUAUUUUCAACCAUCUUCUUGAACUCGAAAAAUUUGUCAAAAACUUCAUGUUUAAAUUUUAAAAGAUAAAGCCAGGAAAAUCUAGAAUAAUCGUCGAUAAAAAUAACAUAAUAUUUGUAUCCAGAAACCGAGGGCACAGGUGAUUGCCAAACAUCAGAAUGAACAAUAUGAAAAGGAAAAGCAGAUUGAGAUUCUGAAUCAUGAAAUGAGAGUUUAACAUGUUUUCCCAUAUUACAAGCAUUGCAGACAGAUAAUUUCAGUGCAGAAUCAGAAACAAUUUUAUUAUUUUUAAUAAAUGUAGAAAGAACAGGAAGACUAGGAUGACCUAACCGUCUAUGCCAGACAUCUCCACUAAAUCUAGAUGCAAUAAGAGCUAGUUGUUGCUUAUUCCCUACACUUGCAAGUCUAGAAGAAAUUGGAUAAAGUGAUGUUCCCGAGCUAGGACAUCGAAGAAGCUCCUUCCCUGUUUCCUUGUCCUUCACAGAGAAACCAGUAGAGUCAAAUUCAAAAAGAGAAUUAUUAUCUUGACAGAAUUUACGCACUGAAAGUAAAUUUCUCUUAAUAGUAGGAACAACAAGAACAUUUUUUAGAGCAAAAGAGUUAGAAGAUGUAUUCAAUUGAGUUUCACCUGUCUGAGUAAUAUCAAGUAAAUUUCCAUUACCAACAAGAAUUUUUUCAUGCCCACUAUAAGGUUUAGAAGAUGAGAGAAUACCAGAGUUUGCGGUUAUAUGAUUUGAUGCUCCGGUAUCCGGAUACCAGACUUCCUCACCGGGUUCGUGAAGGUUCAUAGCAGCAAAGGUCUGAGGAACUUCAUCAGCAGCGAAAGAAUGAUUGAAGCGUUGUCUGCACUGAAGAGCAGAAUGAUUGAACUUUCCACAUAUCUGACAUUGUAUGCCGGACUUCGGAAUAUAUGGUUGUUGAUUUGGAGUGUAAGAUUGUUGAGGAUAAUUAGGUUGAGACUGUGGGUAGAUUUCAGGAGAUCCACGACCAGAAUAGUGUCUACCACGUUGUCCUCGGCCUCCACGAUAUCUACCUCCACGGCCUCCACGAUUACCACGUCCACGAUUGGCAUAAAGAGCUUCACUGUCAAUAGUGGGAAUAGCAGAGGACGUAGUCACACUAGUGCGACGCUGAACUUCUGUUUCUUCUUGCAUCAAGAGUGGACGAAGUUGUUCAAAAGUUGGCUUAUUUCUGUGUGUGUUUAGAGCACUAACAAAACCUCGAUAUUCCUCAGGUAGCCCUAGAAGAACAGUCAUGACCAAAUUAUGGUCUGACUCGAUUUCACCAAUCGCCUGAAGAGCAUUACCAAUCGUCUUGAUCUUUUGCAUGUAAUCACUCAUGCUCAUUGAGCCUUUCUUGAUGCUCCGCAAUUCAGAUUUUAGAGAAAAAGCCGUGGAAGCAGUCUUAUCAAGAAAAUAUGCCUCAAUAAUUCUCCAAGCAUCAUAUGCAGUUUUAGGUGAGCUAGAAACAACCAUAUGUAAUAUGCUAAGAGAUAAAGUGGCAUUAAUCCAUGAAAGUAUAGUAGUAUCGUUCUUUUUCCAACUCACAUAUUCAGGAUUUAUAACCUCCUUCUUAUCAGCAGUAUCGAUAGUCUGAGAAGGCACAACACUAGUUCCGUCCACAUGUUUUGUAACAUCAAAACUUUCUAGAACAUUAAGAAAGACUUGUUUCCACACAAGAUAUGUAGAAUCGGUGAGUUCUAGUGGUAUGAGAGUUUUGAUAUUAACAAUUGGCAAAUUUGAGAUAGAAGAAGACAUGUUUACUACCUUAAGAUAAGGAUCCACCACUAGAUAAGAAAGAAAGAUAAAUCGGAAUGUAGCGGAUGUGAAAAAAAAAAAAAAAGAACCUGAAUUCAAUAACAUGAGAGGAACCACUUAUCACCAAAUAAGAUCGACCGCACCAAGGAAAGAACCGAGUGAUACGAGCAACCAACAGUAGGACAGUCCGAGCGGCACCAGAGGAGCAAAGAGAAAUCACAGAAAGGCUGAAAAUACUGUAGCAGAAAUACUGUAGCGCUGUUACUGUAGUGCCAGUACUGUAGUGCUGUUACUGUAGCGCCAGUACUGUAGCGCUGAUACUGUAGCAGUACUGUAGCAGUACUGGGAAGAUAGAAAACCAAAAGAAAAGACACCUAUAGAAAAAGAUGAGAUUAAUGGUGGAUGGUGGCUCUGGAUCGAUAUCCCCACAUUAGGGUUCCCGCUCUGAUACCAUGAAAGAAGGGCUAAAGUGCAUACCCUCUUGAGUUGUAUUAAUGAAUAUAUAUAGUACAAGAGAUUGUCUUACUAUAGCAACAAUGACUACUAUAGUAAGAGUAUAACUAGGAUUACAUACUAUAUAAUCCUACUCUAUAGAAGGCAAUGAUACUACUCUAUAUACGGCAAUAAAACACAAUAUCCUAAUAUAUCGUAACAGAGGGCCUUUUGUCUUGAAAGAAUGGAGAGUUCUAAGUUUUCUCUAGUUGGAGUGGAGUGGUCAAAAAUUACUUUCUGUUUUUGCUCAUAUUUUCGCUAAACCAUAGUUUGCGGGCAUGGUUUAAGCCUAUUCAAACAACCUCAUAGUAGAAAAAACAUAUCUCAUUGUGGAGUUUAGACUAUACCCCAUUUUAGAUCCCAUCCAGAUCGGCCCUAAAUGGAAAAAAGAUAGAAAACUUCUUAAAGCCCACAUGCAUUAUUGGGACAACACACCACAAACAAUCUAAAAUGACUAAACCAUAAAAAUUAAAAUAUAAUUUCUUAAAUGAAAAACUAAGCUAAAAGAAACUAAAAUAAAUAGGAGAAGACCCAUCCUUGAACUGUGAGACCCUAGCUAGUCCAAUAUAUAAGAUGUAAUAAGGUUAAAACUCUUAACCCUGCUUGAGCAUUUUGGGCAGUGGCUAGGCCCAAGAGGUUAAGAGAGUUAAGCGUGCUAGGACGGGAGUAGUCCUAGGAUGGGUGAUCCCCUGGGAAGUUGGGGCGUCACAGUUGGUAUGAGAGCCAAUUACCAUUCGGAAGUCUGAGAUGAGUCUCGGCUGAGUCAGGAUUAUACAGCGGGGAGAGCGAAGCCCUCAUACUGUUGACUGUUGUAAGUAGAGCGUAGCUCACCACAAGGUCGGUUUAGGCUAGUGAGACGAGUUUUAUAUUGCCUGGUACUUGUGAGUCUGAGCUUUAACGAGGACGUUACGGCUUAAGAGGGGGAGAAUGUGAGGCCCUAGGUAGUCUUAUAUAUAAGAUAUAAUAGGGUUAAAACUCUUAACCCUGCUUAAGAAUUUUGGGUUGUGGCUGGGCCCAAGAGGUUAAGAGAGUUAAGCGUGUUAGAACGGGAGUAGUCUUAGGAUGGGGGAUCCCUUGAGAAGUUGGGCCGUCACAUGAACUGCAUCAUUAUGUCCAAUAAAUAUCAUUCUUUGUGGCCCUCGUAAGAUAUAAACUAAGUUGAAAAGGUUUUAGAAAGAGUAAAAACAGGGGCUUCUAAUGACUUUCUAAUGCAACAGAGAAAUAUAGAAUUAACAGAAAGCAACAGAGCGAAAUUCAUAUUCUUAUAUCUAGGUUUUUUCGUAUUUAGAAAAAAAGGAACUCAUUGACUUUUCUGGCACAUUUUUCAACACUUAAUUUUGUUUUAUGCCUUUUGCACCUCCUAGUGAUUGAAUCUUAAAUAUUUAAAUAAUUCCUUCGCUACUGUUUGGACUAUUUUGUUGGAGUAUGGAUCCAAGUUCGUUAGGAAAUUGAGUAUUUUCACCCAAACACCAGUGUACCUUGUCCAUUUAAGGAUUGAAGUAACAUACAAUCUGCACAAUAUGCCUGCUCAAUAUGCCUCAUAGUGACCAAAGAAAAAGAAACAAGGUAAACAGCUGAUUGGUAUCAGGACUCAAAUCUGCUUUGAUGUGAUUUUUGGAAGCUGGUACAAAGCCAGUCAGAUUGGCUAUAAACCUUUCGUUUCCAAUUCUCUCUUAAUGCAGCUGCUGAUAUUGGUGUUGCUCGCUGUGUGACUUCGGCCAUAAAUUCAUUUUGCACUGUCACUUUUGAUGCAACGCCUAGUUUAUUAAAUUAAUAUGUAAAAGCCCUUGUUUUCUUCUACGUGGAUUAACAAUUUGAAGGAUUGUUUCCGGAAAAAAUGACUGCUGAUUACUUUAAGGUUUCAGAAAAGAGGAGUAAAAACAGGGGCUUCUAAUGACUUUCUAUCGCGACAAAGAAAUAUAGAAUUGAUGGAAAGCAACAGAGCGAAAUUUAUAUUCUUAUAUCUAGGCUUUUUUCGUAUUUAAAAAAGAAGGAAUUCAUUGAAAUUUCUGGCACCUUAUUCAACACUUUUUUGUUUUAUGCCUCCUGCACUUCCUAGUGAUUGAAUCUUGAAUAUUUAAAAUAACUCCUUUGCUACUGUUAGGCUUUUUUCGUAUAUCUAGGCUUUUUUCGCAUUUAGAAAAGAAGGAACUCAUUGAAAUUUCUGGCACCUUAUUCAACACUUUUUUGUUUUAUGCCUUCUGCACCUCCUAGUGAUUGAAUCUUGAAUAUUUAAAAUAACUCCUUUGCUACUGUGAGGACUAUUUUGUUCCUAGUGGUUGUAAUAUGGAUCCAAGCUUAUUAGGAACUUGAUUAUUUUCACCCAAACACCGCUGUAACUCGUCCAUUUAAAGAUUGAAGUAACAGACUAUCAGUAUGCCUGCCUCAUAGUGACCAAAGAAAAAGAAACAAUGGUAACCAGCUGAUUGGUAUUAGAACUUAAAUCUGCUUUGAUGUGAUUUUUUGGAAGCUGUUACGAAGCCAGUCAGACUGGCUAAUGCUUAUGUUGCCAUUGUGAAAACUUUCGUUUCCAAUUCUCCUUUAAUGCAGCUGGUGAUACUGGUGUUGUUCGCUGCAGGAGUUCGACCACAAAUUCAUUUUGCACUCUCACUUUUGAUGCAAACCCUAGUUUGUUAAAUUAAUAUGUAAAAGGCCUUGUUUUCUUCUGCAUGGAUUAACAGUUUGAAGGAUUGUGGCCAAUAAAUUGACUGCUGAUUGCUUGAAAGCAGGAAAAAGACUGGUCAUGCAUCUUUGCUUGAAUUUAAUAGCGCAUAUGAUUUUAUUGUAUCAAAUAUCGAGAAUGGUUGUUGCAAAGCAAAAUUACUGGAAGAGGAGAUAUAAGCAGCAGUUUGCAAAGAAUAAAGGGAAAACUUUCAUGGAUUAUGCUUAGUAUGGUUGUUUGGCUUAACUUUGCUUAGGAGUUUUUGGAUUGACAUAACUACUGUUUGGCCAUAAGCUUAGUGAGAGUAGAAGUUGGUCCCAUUGUUGACUUUGAUAACAUUGAUGGAGAUCAACAACCUAGUCAUGGGGUCAAUUUACUGAGAGUAGCAUUCCCUUGGAAUGUAGUCAUCUUUCAUGGCAAAAUCUGAAAUGUUGCCUGCAUCUAGUUGGCAGAUCUCUUUAACAUUGUCGUGGUUAACGCUGGAACUAAUGUUUGAACUUCGCUCAAUCCCCAAAAUGUUAGUGCAAACAUUCCUUCAUGACAAGAACAAAUUGCUUACGGGACAUUCGUUUCAAUGGUCUGUAGAAUUCUAGGAAUCCUCUACAUUUUCUAUUUAAGGUACUCAAAUUGUCUCAAUGUAACUCAAGUUGGGAAUAUGUAAAAAGCUUUGCUGAGGUGGUUGAAUCAUCCUAGAUUCGCAGGUAGUAGGCAUGUUACAAUACCAUGGUUGAAAGAACUUUGCCAUUUCCAUGGUUCAUGGGAAUUAGGGGCCGUUUGGUUCAAGGUUUAUAAUGUUUUGGGAAUGUUGUUUAUAUAAAUUUGGAAUGACAAAUUUGUUACUAACUCACCAACCGCUUGGGUUGAGAGGUUGUUAAAAACUAGUAUAUUCUUUUUAAUGAACUACUAAUGAUUCCCAUCAAGUAUGGAAAUGAGAAUAACUCCUAACCUAUGAUAAUCUAGUAUUUCUACCACCUAGGAAUCUACAAUGAUUCGACUACUUGCCUAACACCUUUUACAACUACCCAACUUGAGUUGAAUGAUAAUGAUUUUAAAUAUUUUCAACAGAAAAUACCGGUAUAUUACAAACUGUGAACCAAACAGGCCCUUACAAUAAUACACAACUACACGAGUCCCUUGCACCCUCCCAACAUAAGUGGCGUGGCGACAAUAUUGUCAGUCCAUAUAUAAAAUGUGUGGCACUCCGGAUACUACAGACUUGUGAAACGAAUAACCCUUGGAAAGAAAUUCAUCAUUGUUUUUCAUGCGGACUUUCUUGAGGGGUUGAUCCUUGUUGUGUGGCUCUAAAAUGCAAAGAAGGUUGAUUAGUUUAACCUCCAACUGGGAGUCGCAGCUUUAAUAACUAGUCCUAAUGUCUAAACCAAAUUUUUAGAGACUAGAUUUUAGCUUAACUCUUGAUUUUAACUUAACUCUUGAUACCUGACUCUUAAGUUCUAAUUAUUAUCAUUCUUAUUUUUGGUGGGGAACUUUUUCAACUUUGAAUUGUACUUCAUCUAACUUGAUAUUGUUUGGAAAGACUUCUAUGGCUCUACCUACUUCUAGCUAGAGGUGUCAGUAUUGGAGAAGACUACAAAAUUAGUUCUCUUCUAGAUGCUGAUUUAGCGAAAAAGAAAAAAGAAAGAAAAAGGAGGAAGCUUGACUGCUUGAGUUGAAGCUCUUGCAAUUAGUUGAUGGUGAAAUUGUUUGAUCACUAGUAACCUCAUUCUCAUCUGUUCUGCACAUAAUUCACUCUUAUGCUUUCUUCUUUCUAGUGUUUUGAUUAAAUGCAGUUUUACUGUCAUAUUGUCGACUUGAAUUGCUACAUGAUGCAGUUAUAGGGUGGUACUAUGACCAUUCUUUUCCUUUUUAUUGGUUUCUGUAAAUUAUCUUAUUAAACGUACUUAUGGAGAACUUCCUGUCUAGUUUACGAUGUUGUGCUGACAAGUGACUCCUAACUCCUUUUGUCUUUAAUUUAGUCAACAAACUCUUUUUGUCUCUAAUUUAAUUAACAAAAUACUUGAAUCAACAGAGUGAUUUAUGUUGUACAUAUGGAUCAUAUGAUUUUCUUCACUCCUUAGUUAGCCGUGUGUGAUUUCAAUGUAGCACAUAUAGGUAUUGUAGUUUUCUUUGCUUAAUUUAAUCGUAAAUUUACUUUUGUUGUUACCUAUUAUUCUUUUGUGUUUUCUUGGUUGGUCCGUUCGCCAUUAAAUAUUCUUUCCUUUGCAACAGCACUGGCAAAAGCUCAGCAAUUACUGCUUGAUCCACAAGAAAGGGAUUAUAUUCUUAACCAAGUCAGUGCCGCAAAAGGUGUGCAAAUAAUCUCUAACCUUAUUAUAUUAUCUUUAUAUCAGAAAGACUAAAGUAUUUUUUGGACAAUUAUUAAUCUUACUAGUCCAUUUUUCUGUAGGAUUCUUAAAAUUGGGUUGUCUUUGUUGAGCAUUAGUAAUCAGAAAAGGAUAUUCUAUUUCUAUUUCUCUUUUUUUUCUUUUGAUUUGGUGGGGGUGUUUGGGGUUUUCAGUGUGCGCAGCGCUGUUAUGAGGUUGUUCUUCUAAUAAAAUGCGACUAGAAGAUUUGUUGAUCAAAUACAUUUCUAAUGUGAUGUUGAUGCUUCAUUUGAAUGAGUCUUCUAGGGGUUUUUAUCUUCUUGAAAUCAUUUAAGAUGGGAAACAUUUGAUAUACUAACAGAUGAAACAAAUUGUUACUGUAUGUUGUGAACUGCAGAAGAGCUUAGGUUAAAGAGGAAGAAAGAGUUGAAGAAGGACAAUGCUUCGAAAAUAAAGGCACUGGUAGAUGAGGUAAAAUGAGCUGUUUUAUAAUUUAAUGUUUCACAUGUUUCUGCUGGAGUACUUUUCCAAAUCUCGAUCUUUUUACAUAAUCUGCUAUAAAUUUUGUAAACCUCUUCUGUAGGUACAUUACAUAAUAGACUAGUUUUAAUAGAGAUAAAAAAUGGAAAUUUCUUAUAUUUAUGUGAUGACACUUCACGACUUGAAUAAAACAUUUUUUUUCAUAGAAUUGUGUAAAUAUGCUUAUUUUCUUGUAAGUACUUUGUGUGUACAAUUGUUUGUCAUGACAUCAUUAGGUAACAAUUUCCAAAAUUUUAUCUUAUGAAAUUUGUGUCAAUCAUUCAUAGUUGUAUUUUUUUUAUGCAUUUGUUCUCAUCAUAUCAUUAUCCUAUAUUUUCCCAGGAUGAUGCAAGACAAAUUAGAAAAACCCUACUAUGUUUUGCAAGUCAUGAACCCAAAAUAUGUUUAAAACCAAAUUUAGAAUUUUCUAGAAAUUUUAGGGCGUGUUUGGUUUGCCCAUUUUUCACCUAGGAAUCGGAAUUGGAAUGCAUGAUUCCGUUUGUAGGUGUUUGGUAUGCGGGAAUACCAUUCCAAUUCCGAUUUCUGGGUGGAAUGGGAUCCCCCCAAUCACUACUUUUUCCAUUCUGGCCUAGGAGGCUAGUUUGGAAGUUAAAUUUGGGUGGAAUAAAUGUUUGUUCGGAUUAAAUUUAAAUUUUUAACCUUAUUUUUUUAAUUAAAUAUAAGUUUAAAUUCAGAAAUUAAAUUUAUAAUUUUAAAUUUUAAUUUGAACUUGAAUUAAAAGUUAAAAUUCAAUAAAGCAUUUAGAAUCUAAUUUAUGAAUUUGAAUUAAAAUUCAAAUUUAAAAUUUAAAAUUUAAAAUUUAUUUAAAAUUUAAACGACAAUUAUUUUUUAGACUGUUUGAAAUAAGGAUAUAUUAUUUUGGGUAAUUUUAUAUUGUUACCAGCAAUUUUAGUUUGUUAUAAUAUUGGUCUUAAAAUAUGACUUCUCUUUCACUUUUCUUUUCUUUUUUUGAGGAAAUGAUUUUGUUUUGUUAACUAUUCUAUUUAUUAGAAUCAUAUAAAAUUUUGUGAUUUGUAUGUUACCAUAUAAUUAUUACAAUAAAAGAUAAUAAUAAAUAGUUUAUUUUCAUAUUAAAUAAUAUAAAAUAUAAAAUUGUCUUAAUUUUCAUUAAUUAAUUAUUUUAUAAGUUGCCCAUUUAUAUUUAAAUAGAGUAUUCAAAAUGGUUAAAAGUAAUUAAAAUGUAUUAUAAGGAUAAAAUUGGUACAUUAAUUUGAUUUCGUUUCUGAUAUCUACAUAAACCAAACAUUGACAGUAGGAAUGGUUCAUUCCGAUUCUGAUUCCAGUGGCGAAUCAAAUAGAAUGAGUUAAUUGAGUCAUUCCGAUUCCAAUUCCAGCUUAUUUCGAUUCUGAUUCCGAUUUUUGAUUCAAACUUCGAACCAAACACAGCCUUAGGGUAUUUUUCAAAAGAUUUUUUUAAAAAAUUAAGAAAAUUAAGAGAAAAUUAAAGAAAAUAGCUGAUAAAUAGGAAAAAGUCAGAACAUUCAUAGAAUUGUUUUAGAAUAUUGGAAAGGCAAAUUGGAAGAAGAACAAAAGAGAUAAAGGAAAGAAGAAAGGAUGAGGAAGGAAAGAGAAGAUAGAAUCUUUUUAAAAAGAAUUUUGCCGGUGCAUACGGUAGAGAAAUAGAGGAGAAGAAGAUACCAUGCCGCAGUCAAAACACAGAACCUAAAUUUUAUUCCAUCAUAACUCCUCUGAAAUUAUAAGGUAUAGGCUAUAUUUAUAAUCUUGAAAACAUAAUCCUAAUCUAAAACACAUCGCACGAUUGUAGGCAUCUUCUCCUAUUUCGAAAAUAUCUUAUAAAAGUCUAAGCCAAAUUAAUCCUAAAAAUCUUUGAAUAACUAAAACAAACUAAUAAAUGCAAAAAUUGACUCAAAUAAAUAAAAGAUGACUCGACCGAACCCUCUUUGAAUAUGGUUCUGCAUCAUUCGUUUCUGCUGCGCGGGAUCUCGUCCUCGCGAUCAACACAAUCAAAAGAAGUUAGUAGCACCAAACCAUUAUACAUAUAUAAUGAUGCAUUUCGACGCCUAAAUAUCAAAUAAUUUCGUUAGCACCAUCCUCAUGACUGUUAUUUGGAACUCAACUUGUGGCAAAAGAGGAGCCUUUGGCGGUGGUAACAGAGGUGGGAUAAUAGGCACCUCAGCAAUCAGCUUAGAUGGCUCCAAAGUUUGUAGAGUCGAUGAAGGUGGUGAAGAGUCAGACAUGAGUGGAUGUGGUUGCAUCGACUUCGGCUUCUUGACUCUUGGAAAAAUAGCAUAUUGAAUCCCAUUAUCGUGACAAAUAUACUUAUUUCCCUUCAUGAUUAGAAAAAGCAUUAUUUGCCUCAUGCCAUGGUCGUCCAAGUAUUAUGUCACAUCUCUUAAUAUCAACCAUGAUGAAUACAAUUUUCUUUUUGUAUUCAUCUUGCAUUGUGAGUAUGCUGAAUUUAAUAUCUUGGGAUUUGAUAAUAGUGUCAUCAUAAGACACAAGAUAAGGAGACAAACAACGACACAAUAAGAUCUAAUUUUUCUAUGUUUUCUUGAAAUAAGAUUAUGAGAAAAUUGAUGAUUAAUUUGUACUCGACAAGGAACACCAAAUCUCAUAGCAAUUUGAAAAGAACAAGUAAAAGAAAUAGAAUUCAUGUUUUGAAGGAGUUGUUUGAUUUCGGCUAAUUGUUGGUUACUUUGAACCAAGUUCAAAUUUAUUUGGUUAUUUGCGGCUUGAAGAGAUUGCAAAUCAGUUUGUAACUUUUUGAAGCGAGUGUUGGUAUAAAGCUCAAAUUUUUUAAACAUUUAACUAAGUUCUGCAUUUGUUGGUAUUUUGAAAAUUAAUUUAUUGAUCAACGUUGCUCUAAUACUAAAAUUGAUGCAAGACAAAUUAGAAAAAAACUUGCAAUUGAUGACCUUAAAAUCUGUUUAAAACCAAAUUUAGAAUUUUCUAGAAAUUUUAUAGUAAUUUCCAUUUUUUUAAAAAAAAAUUAAGAAAAUUAAGAGAAAGCUAAAGAAAAUAGCCAAUAAAUAGGAAGAAAUUAGAAAAUUUAUAGAUUUGUCUUAGAAAAUUGGAAAGGCAAAUUUAGAAGGAAAAUAUGAGAGGUAGAGGAAAGAAAAAAAGAUAAGGAAGGAAAGAGAAGAUAGAACUUUUUUAAAGAAGAAGAAUUUUGCCGGCGCACACGGUAGAGAAAGAGAGGGGAAGAAGAAGAAGAUACCUAUGGAAGAAGGUGAGACUUGUGGUGGAUAGUGGCUAUGGAUCGAUAUUCCCAAAUUAGGGUUCCUGCUCUGAUACCAUGAAAGAAGGGCAAAAAGGAUACCCUCAUGGAUUCUAUUGAUGAUGUUAUAUAGUACAAGAGAUGAGUCUAAUAUAGUAACAAUGUCUAAUAUAGUAACAAUAUAACUAGGUAUCUCAUAUCAUAUAAUCCUACUCUAAAUAUGUCGUAAUAUAUAGUAUCCUUAUAUAGCAUGAGAUAUUAAAUAUGUCGUAACACCAACCCCUAGAGGGUGUACAAGCUUGUAGGAUAAGGAAUACCCUAACAGUAGAAUCGGGGGUUUUCUUUUUGGACUGUGGUGGGUCAGCUCUUUAUUUUUGAUUGCUGAGUAUUCUUAAAUGUAUAGUUUCAGGAAGGAAAAACUGUAAGCAUACUUACUGUUUCAUUCUGUCCUGUUUAGAAGGAUACAGAGGAUGAUGAAUUUUAAUAUUUCUUCAAUUUUAGUCAUUUACAUAUUUUUUGUUAUUUUUGUUCCUUCGUUGUUUUGCACACGUGGGAGUUGGAUUGUAGCAGGGAGGGGAUGGGGAGAAACCACUUCACUUUUUUUUUGUAUGAUUGUGAAUACUUGCAUAAUAUAAUGUCUUGAUGUUCUCAUAUGAUGCUGCAUGGUGGUGUUGUGUUUACCAAUUUUCUAGGUACUAAUCUGCGGCCUUUCAAGUGAAUAAAAUUUUUCAUACGUUUUAUCAUGUUAAAGUGAAAGUAUCAUGAUCUUUAUGAGUUGCUUAGGAAUACUGAUGAUGAUCUGCUUCUGUUUUGCUUGCAGUACAAGGUGGAGCGUUUUUCUUUUUUUCAUUAUAUUCGCUUUGUUUCAUGAUUUCUUCAUAUUCAUGCUGAAUGAUAAAGAGGAAAUGUACAUAUUUUGCGGGGCAAAAUUAGGGCUUUUCUUUUCCUUGAUUAUUUCUUUGGAAUGAUACAACAAAACUACAAGAGUGAAAAUACAAUUAAAAAGUUGCCUUAACUACAUACAGGGAAAGUAUGAAGUGCAGUAUGAGCAAUCAGAAGAAUUUCAGCAGCAGUUAAAGAUAAAAGUUCGUGAAAUAUUAACUGAGCAAGAAUGGCGUCGAAGGAAAAUGCAAAUGAGGGUCUGAGCAAUCAUAUUAAUUAACUUCAUUUUGUAUCAGAUAAAAUAGUAUUCGUAUCUAAACAUGCAUAUUUAUAUAUCAAGCAGAUAUCAGAAGAGGAAGGAAGGCUGAAAAAGGAUGAAGAAGAGACAAAGGAGAUGAUGAAAAGGAAGCGUGAACAUGAGGAACAGUGGGAGGAAACAAGAGAUCGGCGAGUAUGUGCUCUAAAUCUCCUUUGUUCGUCAAACUCUUUUCCUUUUUUACUUCUGCAGAUUUACCUGCCAUAGACUCUGAAAUUUACUUACAAAUUCAAUGUGAAAUUCAGUAAUGAAUAUUUUAUUUUCUGGAAUUCAACUACAACAAUGCGCAUGCAAAAGAUUUUCUGAAGUUAUGAAUAAUAGACAUUGCCUAAUCAUUUCAAUUUGGCUGUAAAUAGUAGGCAAUUAGGCUUUAUUUUUUUUAUGUUCGUUUUUGCAAUAUGACUCUACAACCUACUGCCGGACUUUGUAUUAGAUCAUGUAAUCUAGCAGUAAUGCUUAUGUUGUCUAUUUACUACCGUCUGUAGAGACAAGUGACUUUGUUUCUUCGUCUCUCUUGGGAUCAUUCCUUCUGGUCAUACUUUAUUCUAGUUUACUGGAACUCUGCCUACAUUUUAGUUGUACAAUGGCCAAAUCCCAUGUUGUUUGGAGCAGGCUAGAUUAUUCUAUUGAUGAUGAAGGCUUUUCAUAUUGUGUUCUUUUUUUGUUUUUUGUUUUUUUUGUGUUUGUAGCUUAGUCUUCCCUGUUUGCAUCCUUUAUUUUUUCAUUAGAUGAAACUGGUAAAUUUUGUUGCAUGAGCCUGAAAUGACAGCUAGAGGUCUUUCUACUUUUCUAUUAGCUUAUAAUUCGCUUGUAAUCCAUGAGAUAUGCGUGUAGCUGAAGUUAUUAUUCUUAAUGAAGACCAGUUAUAAAAAUAUUUUGUUUUAAUUAAUGAAGUCUUUUGAGCCUAGUAUUGUGUUAUUUACUGUUUUUAUUGUUUAGGCAUAGCAGAUAUAACAACGGCCUUGACAAAUUCAAAAUUUUGCUAGAAUUAACUGAAAUGUUACAAGUAGAAGUUUCAUUUUUUAUUAAUGAUGACACAAUAUUUGUCCAUACUGCUCUUUGGAGUAUGUUUUAAAGUUAUGAUAGCAUAUUUUAAUUGUCAAUUUCACCUUUUUUUUGGAUAUUUUUCCAUAUUAAUCCCUUUUUAAAAUCUUUUAAUACUGUAUGUAAGUAUCUCAGAACAUCAAUUUACAUGAUAGUUCCUCAAAUCAAUUUUAGUUUGCAUGUCAUUCCCUCAGGUUAAAAUUAAUGGCAUCUUUAUAGAAUGUUUUCCCAUUAUGCUUUAAAUGUGUGUACGUUUCUGACACUGAACAAAUAUUAGGCCAUUUAUUCCCAAAAAGCACACAACUUUAGGCAAUGACGUCAUUCAAGCAUCACCUAAAAUCUCAAUAAUUUAUCUCCAGUAAUCUUCAGAAGAGAAAAGGUUAGCCGCAGCCAACAACGGGGUGGUCAUAGCUGAUUAAAAUUGAGAAAGUGGAGAAACUAGCUUUCUUCAAAGCGUUUACAGUUUUUUCAUAGAUUCUAGUGUAGACGAUAUACGAUUUCAGGGAACAAGAAGAAAUUUGUGGGUAAACGGAUGUUUUACCUUAUCGAGUUUUCAGUAUUGAAAAAUUUUGAUGUAAAGACUUUAUGCCUAGUGGACAGUGAUUUGAGGAGCAGUGAGUACAAUAAUUAUUGUUUCCCUAUGCUAUCAAAUUUGAAGAAGUGCUAUUUGUUACAUGUUAGUCCCUUUUCUGGUGUGGUUUGUGAGCUUCGAGGCUCAAAAAGCAGAAGCACUAGCAUGAAGUUUGUUCUUUAGCUUCAGCAAUACACCGGAGGAAUAAUAAUAACUAAAAUUCUGUUUGGGCUGCUUCAACUCUUCAAGCACUACUUAAAACAACACUUCUGCUGAUAUAGAGCUGUGCCAUGUAGGCAAGCAACAGUGACUCUGCUUUUCUAACAUGUCAUUGAUAUCAUAUUUAUUUGCAAGAAACAUAGCCUUAUCUCUUAAUUAUUGGGGCUCUGCUUUAAAAUUUCCUAGUUGUACUAUUACGAACCUUUCUCUUAAUUACUGGGGCUCUGCUUUAAAAUUUUCUAGUUGUACUAUUACGAACCUUUCUCUUAAUUACUGGGGCUUUACUAUAAGAAUUCAUUAGUUCUACUAAUACGAACACAUUUUGCUUAUAUUGAUUUCCUCUAUUCACAGGUUUCAAGCUGGAGAGAUUUUAUGAAGUCUGGGAAGAAGGUGUGGAAAUAUCAUUUUAUUUUUUUAUUAUGGUAUAUUGCAUGUUUGGUCCUCAAACUAUGAGGUGCAUGACAUUUGGUCCUCAAAUUUUAAUAUGUUAUAGUUUUUUGUUUGAACUUUAAGAAUUGUUGCAAUCAAGUCCCACAGCCUAAUUAAAUUGACUAUAUGUUGACACAUCGCUGAUAUAAAAGUGAUGUAGCAUUCUAUUUAUUAGCGCAUCAUUAAUAAUAUCAUUGCUGCAUCACUUAUAAAUUAGUGAUACAUCAACAUCCAGUCAACUAUGUUAGGUUAUAAGACUUGAUUGCAAUAAUUUUGAAAAGUCUAGUCAGAAAUUAUAAUUAUUUAAUUUAGGACCAAAAUGUCACCCGCCUUGUAGUUUGAGGACCAAAUGUGCAACUUAUCCUUUUUAUUAAAUUGACGUUGAAAAUGCAGAAAUCUCUCCUGAAACUAUGCGAUUUGUGCUUUCCCUUAUACAAAUAUCAAUCUACAUUUAACCUCGGCGUUAUUUCAGACCAUUUCUUGACGUGUUUCCAUCCAAGAAAUAUUAUACUAUAUUGUUAAUUUACCUGUUGCAAUAUUUUUGUAUCAUAUUUUAGUAAUUUUUAACUGUUUGUGAACGCUAAAUUGAAUAAAUAUGAUUGAAGGGAAUUUAUGCAAAAUAUCUAAACAGUAAGGGGGUUAAAUGCAGGUUUUUGUUUUUAUUGAGAUUGAUGCUUUAUCAUCAUGUUUUCAAAUGGGAAAGCUAAACUAAAAAUAUUUUGCUUAGCCACUAAUCUCGGUGUAGUAGUGUGCAAACUUUGACAUGAUCUCUGCGUCUUUACUAUGUUCUGUAGGGUAAGAAAGGCGAGAUAAAACCCCCGAAGCUCAAGACAGAAGAUCCGAACAAAUCUUACGUGCAAAGGCCGGUAAAGCGCGGAUGAAACCGGCACCAUUUAGGGGCCCUUCGAUCUUAUUAGAUGAGCAGCUGAAUGGUUGGUGGUGUUAGUAGCUGUGGAGCAAUUCUGCGGCCGAAAGAUAAGGUGGUUAAAAACCUCGGGCGUCCUUCGUAUCGUUUUAUUUUGUUUCUACUGCGAUUUGAAGUCUAUCAAAAUAUCUGCAGAGUAAUUCACUUGUCAUUACAAGUGGUUGGCGAAAUGUAUUUCUAUACAAAAAUCAAUCAUGUUGAUUCUGCAGGGUAAUUUGAUUCUGGAAGGUAAAGGUGGAUCUUUUUACUUGAAAAUGGCCUCAAGAUUAGCGAUCAGGAUUAGCCCGUACAUGUUUGUCCAACAAUAGUUAUUCAUCCCAAGUAUAAAAAUAAAGAAGAAAAUUGAUAUUUUUAUUUAUAUUUCUUGCUUCAAUCUCAAAACGUCGGAAUGUAAUCUCCUCGGGAGGAAGACUUUCAGGGCAACGUUUUGGUGGAAUUGAAAUGGAAAUAGGAAUAGAAAUGGAUGGAAGUGGAAUCGAAACGGAACGAUGAAAGCUUCUAAUUUGUUUGGUUCAUUCUAGAAGAAUCGAAAGCGAAAUUACAUUCCAAUUAAGAUUUUAGAAGUUAAAAUUAAAAUUACCUUCAAAUUUGCAAUUAAAAUUUUAAGUCUAAAUUCAAAUUUAAAAUUUAAAUUUACAAAUUAAGUCUAAGAUCAAAGUUAAAAUUUAAAUUGAGAACUAAGUUUUAAUUAAUAUCAAACUUGCAUUAGAAUAAAAUUUAGACUUAACAAUUUAAAACCAAGUUUUGAGUUCGUACUUCAAAUUAUUUACAAAAUUGAUAUUUAAAUUUAAAUAAUUAUUAGUGCAAAAAAGUUUUGUUAAAAUUCCUUGGGGUUCAAAGUUGAUUCCUAUUCUGGAGGUGAAUUCUUGGGGGAAGAGACGUUUUUCAUUCAGUAAAACUAAGUUGUGCUCUAAUCUGUGUCUUAUGAGUAAUUUGUGAUGAUUGUAGCUCAUGUUUUAACAGAAUUAGAGCAACACUUUAUUUCUUUACCAUGAAUGGUUCUGAACAAUAAAUUAGUUUCAAGUUUUCCAUUCGAUGGGUAAAUUGCAACACCACUUCCCAAUCUUUCAGCCAAGUUUUAACUCGGUCUUUAAACUCUUAUUUAUAAAUUAGACAUUGGACACUAACUUUUAAUAGUGUUUUAUUUUAGUUUCUGUGUUAUGAUAUUUCAUUAUAUUCAUAUGCCGUAAAGAAAGUUGAUUCAAGAAGGUUGAUAGCACUAAAAAUUUAGUACUUUUAAAAGCUUUCCAACUGGACUAUAUCUAUAUUAUAGAUGAGAUAUAUAUAUAUAUAUAUAUAUAUAUAUAUAUNCAUACUAUAGAUAGUAGAUUAAUAAUAUUCACUAUAGAUUUUUAGAUCCUUAUAUUCGUACUAGUACAAUCAUCAACAGUAAAUUCUAGAUUUUUAAGAGCUAAAAAGUCUAUAGUAAUUAUUAUUUCUUUAACAUAAGCUCAACACACACUCUCUCUCUCUCUCUCUCUCUCUCUCCCCGUGUCUCCGUACGUUCGUGUUCCUUGUGCUUUUUCUUCUUGUUCAUGCAUAUAGCUUACUUGCCGCGUCACCAAACGGCAGGUACAAAAUUAUUAAAUCCAGGUUACUCACGCUAAUAAACUUAUUCAUGUCCACCCAGCCCGUUUUUCUUCAUUUUUCAAGGUGAAACUAUUUGGGAUAUAAUUAAUGACUAGUGGACUAGUAUGAGAAGUUCGAAUUUAAGCAUUUUAGUUUGUUGUUAGGAUCAAACAGAUUGCUAAUAGUAGUGACUUUGAUUGAUUAUUACUUAACUUUGGUAGCUGAAAGUGUAAAAAUAAAUUGACCUGGGUUCUUAAACCUGUAGCAUGUAUGUCUAAAUGUUCAACUUAUCUAGUGCUUUUUGGAGUUAAGUUUGCAUUAAACUUGAAGAAAGUGGAUAGUUUUGGAACAUCACAUUCCCCAAAAGCUCCAUCUUUUAUAAAUAGUAUAGAUAUAUAUAGAUUAGGAGUUUGAGACUCCUGAAUUCCUAAAAAAAAUCUUCUAGUAAUUAUUCUUUAGGUUAGGAGGCUAGCAGAAUACUGCAAAAGAAUAAAAAAAAAAAAAAAUCAGAAUUAGUGGUCUAGUGAUGCUAUCCUAUGCUUCAACAAUUUGGGGUAGGGUUACCGACCGUCCCUAGAGCAAGUGAUAAAGGACUUGGUGGUUGGUAUUCGAGACUCAAGUUCGAAUUCUAGUUGAUUCACAUUUCUAGCUAAGUUUAUUUCUAAAUGAAAUAAACAAAACGAGUAGCGUGUUAUCUAUCUCUCAAAAAAAAAAAAAAAAUUUAGGGUAGGGUUUAAGACCAAAUAGAUUGCUAAUGCCUCUGAAUUGGGUUAUGAUUAAUUGCAAUAUUGCACAUGCACUUUCCGUUAUGCCAUAUGGAGAAGAUCUUGUGUCGCGUGCUGACGUCAUCUGGAUCCGAAGUGGCCCGCAACGCGGAGCAGCCUGUCUGUAAUUGUAUGAGUCCAGUCAUCCCCACAAACAUUCAUGAUGACGAGAGAAAGAACUUUCUUCAAGUGGUACGGGCAUCUCACCUAUCUCCAAGAAGGAGACGCAUUUGACUUUCCUCACUGUGCAGAGGUUGAAAAAGUAAAAUAAAAUAAUAAGAAAGAGUAGUGGCCGGAGUAUCUUUCUAGGGAUCUUUUGAAAAAGCACUUAAGCUUGGGUGGCGCCAAUUAUUCAGAAAAGCAAAUAUUUGGUUAAAAAGAUUUUCUUUUCUAAGAAAAUAUUAGCAUUAUCGGAGUUGCGGCCGACGAGAACAAGGCUGAGAGGCAUGCAGCGGUGAGGCGAAAGGUGAAGGUGCGGCAAAUUCGAAAGCGCUCGUGACGACGGCCCACACGAGCAUGACGAUCGGAUCAUCAUUGACGACAAUGACGAAGACGAAGGAGGAGGAAGAAAUGGAGGAUAUGAUGAAGAAAAGGAAGAAGAAGAAGAAAAAGAGAAAGACGAAGAAGAAGAAUGACAAAAUUGUCAAUUCAUAUUAUUAAUUAAUCAUAGUUAAGUAUUUUAAUUGUGGUUAACUAGAUUUCUCUAACGAAUCCCAACGAUAGGGACAUAUCUGAAUACAUUAGGACUUUUAUAGGGAUAACUUAUAAAAGUUAAGCUUUGUAGGAAUAUAUCUGCUAUUCACCUAUUUGUAGGGACCUGUACAAAAUUAACCCUAUAUAUAUUUAUCCAUAUAUAAACGUAUAGUAAAUAUUUUGCAAAAUACAAACCCUCUCUUUUUUCAUAUAGUUAGUUGCUUUAGCUGCUUUGAAAGUUUGGCCAAACUGGCAUUAACUACGCCCUAGUUCGGCCCUCUAUAUGUUAUGCAAAUAAAAUAAUUGCCGGAGAUGCUUUAAUUCUCGCUUUUAUUGAAACCUUUCAAUAGAUUUCUCCCAUCUGAGAUAUAUUCAUGUAAUUAAAUUUUUCAUGUUUAUGCUUUAUUUUUCAAUGGUUAAUUAUAUAUAGCUUUCUGUAAAUAUAGCAAAUAGCAAAUAUAUUUUUAUAAAGUUCAAAUUUUAACUCUUAACCCUACAAAAUUUCAGUAAUAUUCAUAUUUGUUCCUCUAGUUUGUUACCGUUAGAGAAUUAUUUUAUUUUUUAAUAAUAAAUAAGUAAAAUGUCAAUUUUGUCAUCACAAAUAUAUCCCUUUAAAAACCUCAAUUGCUAUAAUCGUGAAAAUAUGUUCGCCACAAAAAAAAAUUUCAAUGGUUGACUUCUUCCUAUUUAAAAUCCAAGUUAAUUCACCAUUGUUGCAACCUUUGCUUUCACUUCUAUUUUUCCAAAUCAUUUUUGUGAGCAAAUUAAAAAAAAUUAUAGAGGAAAUUGAAUGAAAAAAUAAUAUGCGUUUGACAUGGGUAAAGCAACACGUGUUGUGGAUGAAUGGGGAUGGAAAAAUUCUAGUUACGUAUUCGAAUCUAGCAUGGAGGAGAGAGAGGAAGAGGAAGAGGAAGAGUAAGUAAAAGAAGAGUUUUCAUUACUAGGACUUUGAUUGAGAGGAAAAGAUAUAAUAUAAGAGGGGUAAAAAUAUCAAUUUACUUCAUUGACUAACCAAGGUUAAGUAUUUUAUCUAUGGUUAACUAAAAUUUUCUAACAGCUUCUAACGAGGUAGGGGUAUAUUUAAAAAUAUUAAAAUUUUUAUAGGGAUAAUAUAAUAAAAUUAAACUUUGUGGGAAUAUAUUUGCUAUUCGCUAUGUUUACAAAGAGCCGUAUACAAUUAACCCUAUUUUCAAAAGUUCUAAGUUUUAUGAUUGUGCUAUCGGCUUUUCAUAUUUGCUUACAAAUAAAAUUUCCCAUCUUUCUAUAGUUCUGGAGUCAAACGUUGUCUCAUUUGACUACUACAACUAUCAUUUGUUCUCGUACAUUGCACUAACCAUGUAAUUACAAAGUUGCGAAAAGUAGAAGGAAAAUAUUUCUUAUAUAAUCGAAAAAAAGGGGCAGAACUUACGCUCUCUAUCUUACGAUUAAUAAAAACUUAAAUAAUUUUUAAUAAAAUAAAAAAAUUAAUGUGAUAAAUAAAAUAUUAAUGGUCAUAAAAUAAAGGCCAAUUUGCAUAAAAAAUCCAUUAAUUUUGAGCUUUUGCAAAACUGGACCGCCUUUUUUGAUUUUACAGAUUCCGUCCGAAUUUUCAGCAAACUGACCAAAAUACCCUUAUUACUUUUUCUCUCUCAUCUUCUUUUCUCUCAUUCAUUUUUUUUUUCUCUCGCCGAAGAAAGCAACGGACGCAGAGGUGGAGGCAGAAAUGGCCCGCCUUACCUCUCACCCUUAUGCUCACGCCCUCGCCCUUUUCCUCGCCCGCGCACCCCCUAUUUUCUUCGCCUCCAACCUUGCAGAGGCCGCGCGGCGACUUUUUCUUUUCCUCUCCGACUCUCCUCCACAGUCUCCGACGACGACGCCUCUCUUGCCCUUCCUCGCCCUUCUCGUCCUCUCCCUCUCUCUCCUCCUCUGCCGCCUCCGACGACGAUGCAUCUUCGUUGACGUCGAUACCGUGGAGGUCGCUGCGGUGCUGCAGCCUCGGAGCGGGGGGUCCUUAACGGCGUCGUCGCUGGCGCCAUGGCCGUUGACAGAGAGGGGUGACAAAAAAAAAUUAUAGAAGAAGAAAGAAAAAAAAUAAAGGAAAAAAAUUAUAGAAAAAGAGAGAUAAAGUUGAAAUUGUGCCGUUAAAAUAAAAUUUCACUGUUUUAAAAAAACGUUGCACUAUUAUAGAAAUAAGUUGCACUAUUUAAGAUGUAAAUUACAGCUUUAAGAUGAAAAUUACACUCUUUAAACAAAAAUUACAAUCUUUAGGAGAUAUUUAUACUGUUUCUCCUCUUAUUGCACUCUUUCAGAUGUAAACUGCAUCCAUUAAGAUGAAAGUUACACUCUCUAAAUGAAAGUUGCACUCUUUGAGAGAUAUUUACACUAUUUUUUCUCUUUUUGCACCUUUUGAGAUGUAAACUGCAUCUUUUAAGAGAUAUUUAUAUUGUUUCUCCUCUUGUUGCACUGUUUCUCCUUACACUAUUUUUUCUUUUAUUACACUAUUUCUCCUCUUAAAGGGUGCAGUUUAAGAGAAAAAAUAGUGUAACAAGAGGAGAAUUAGUGCAACAAGAGAAGAAAUAGUAUAAAUAUAUUUCUUAAAGGGGUGCAGUUUACAUCUCAAAGAGUGCAACAAGAGAAGAAACAGUGUAAAUAUCUCUCAAAGAGUACAACUUUUGUUUAAAGAGUAUAACUUUUAUCUUAAUGGAUGCAGUUUACAUCUAGAAGAGUGCAAUAAGAGAAGAAACAAUGUAAAUCUCUCCCAAAGAGUGUAAUUUUCGUUUAAAGAGUGCAAUUUUUAUCUUAAAACUGCAGUUUACAUCUUAAGUAGUGCAACUUAUAUCGAUAAUAGUGCAACGUUCUUUUAAAACAGUGCAAUUUUAUUUUAACGAUACAAUUUCAUCUUCAUCUUUCUUUUUCUAUAAUCUUCUAUCUUUAUUUUUUUUUUCUUGCUUAUUCUAUAAUUUUUUUUUGUCACUUCUCUCUGCCAACGGACACGGCGCCGGUGACGACGACGACGCCGCUAAGGACCCCCCGCUCCGAGGCUGAGUAGCGACCUCCACGGUGUUGGCGUCGGCGAAGAUGCGUCGUCGUCGGAGGCGAUAGCGGAGGAGGGAGAGGGAGAGGGCGAGAAGGGAGGGGAAGGGCAAAAGAGGCAUCGUCGUCGGAGACGGUGGAGGAGAGUCGGAGAGGGAAAAAAAAAAAGUCGUGGCGCGGCCUAGGCGGGGUCGGAGGCAAGGAAGGUGGGGGUGUGCGUGCGAGGGCGAGGGCGAGGGCGAGGGAGAGAGCAUGAGGGUGAGAGGCGAGGUGGGCCAUUUCCGCUUCCGUUGCCUCUUCGACGAGAGAAAAAAAAAUGAACGAGAGAAAAAAAGAGGAGAGAGAAAGAGUAAUAAGGGUAUUUUGGUCAGUUUGUUGAAAAUCUGGUCCGAAUCUACAAAAUUGGAAAAAGUGGUCAACUUUUGCAAAAGCGCAAAACUAGUAGAUUUUUUAUGCAAAUUGGCCUAAAAUAAAGUGGGUAUAAAAUAUACACUCUAUUUAACAAUACUCGGCUCGUCGACAUGGAAGAUGCCGCACCUACAGCCAAUUAAUAUUUUUAGGUAACCUACGUAACCUAGCUAGUGGGCACUUAUUGAAUUGGGAAGGACAAAAAAAAUCAACUAGGAACAAUUACUAGGUAGUAAAGGUUUUAGGCCAAUUUGCAUAAAAAAUUCACUAAUUUUGGGCUUUUGCAAAACUGGGCCGUCUUUUUUGACUUUGCAGAUUUGGUCCGAAUUUUCAGCAAACUGACCAAAAUACCCUUAUUACUUUUUCUCUCUCCUCUUUCUCUCUCCUCUACGUUUCUCUCGUUCUUUCUUUUUUUCUUUCGUCGAAAAAAAGUAGCGGAGGCAGAGGCGGAGGCAGAAAUAGUCCGCCUUGCCUCUCACCCUCAUGCUCUCGCCCUUGCCCUUGCCCUCGCCCACGCACCCCCAACCUUCCUCGCCUCCGACCCCGCCAAGGCCGCGCAGCAACUUUUUUUUUUUUGCUUUUUUCUUUUAUUUUCUUCUCCGACUCUUCUCCACCGUCUCCGACGGCGACGCCUCUCGCCCUUCCCCGCCCUUCUCAUUUCUCCAUCUCCUUCAUUUUCUGCCGCCUCCGAUGAUGAUUUAUCGUCGCCGGCGCCGACGUCGAUACCGUAGAGGUCACUGCGGCGCUACAGCCUCGGAGCGGAGGGUCCUUAGCGGCGUCGUCACCGGCGCCGUAGCUUGUUAGCAGAGAAGGUGACAAAAAAAAUUAUAGAAAAAACAGUAAAAAAAAAUAAAGAUAAAAAAUUAUAUAAAAAGAAGGAUGAAGAUGAAAUUGUAUCGUUAAUUACAAAAAAAAUUAUAAGUUGCACUAUUUAAGAUGUAACUCCUGCUUUAAGAUAAAAAUUAUACUCUUUGAACGAAAAUUACGUUUUUUGGGAGAUGUUUAUACUAUUUCUAUUCUUAUUGCACUCUUUCAGAUAUAAACUGUAAUCAUUAAGAUGAAAAUUACACUCUUUAAACGAAAGUUGCAUUGUUUUUCUCUUGUUGUACUAUUUUUUAUCUUGCAUCCUUUUAAGUAAUAUUUAUAUUAUUUUUCCUCUUGUUGUAUUGUUUUUUCUCUUGUUGCACUAUUUCUCCUCUUGUUUACACAGAAAUGGUGCAACAAGAGAAGAAACAGUGCAACAAGAGGAGAAACAAUAUAAAUAUCUCUUAAAAGGGUGCAGUUUCUCCUCUUAUUGUAUUGUUUCUCUUCUUGUUGUACUAUUUCUCCUAUUGUUUACACAGAAAUGGUGCAACAAGAGAAAAAACAGUACAACAAGAGAAGAAACAGUAAAUAUAUCUCUUAAAACAAUGCAGCUUCUCCUCUUGUUGCACUAUUUCUCCUAUUGUUUACGCAGAAAUAGUGCAUAAAGAGGAGAAACAGUAUAUAUAUCUCUUAAAACAGUGCAGUUUCUCCUCUUAUUGCACUGUUUCUCCUCUUGUUGCACUAUUUCUCUUCUUGUUUAUACAGAAAUAGCGCAACAAGAGGAGAAACAGUAUAAAUAUCUCUUAAAAUGGUACAAUUUAAGAUAAAAACAGUGUAAUAAGAGGAGAAAUGGUGCAACAAGAGGAGAAACAGUGCAACUUUCGUUUAAAGAGUGUAACUUUCAUCUUAAUGGAUGCAGUUUACAUCUGAANUUUUUCCUCUCCGACUCUCCUCUACCGUCUCCGACGACGACGCCUCUUUCUCCCUUCCCCGCCCUUCUCAUCCUCUCCCUCUCCCUCUCCCUCUCCCUCUCCCUCCUCCUCUGCCGCCUCUAACGACGACGCAUCUUCGUCGACGCCGACACCGUGGAGGUUGCUGUGGCACUGCAGCCUCAGAGCUGGGGGGUCCUUAGCGGCGUCGUCGUAGGCGCCGUGGCUGUUGGUAGAGACGGGUGACUAAAAAAAAUUAUAGAAGAAACAAAAAAAGAUAAAAAAUUAUAGAAAAGGAAGGAUGAAGAUGAAAUUGCAUCGUUAACUGCAAAAAAAAAUAUAAGUUGCUCUACUUAAGAUGUAAACUACAGCUUUAAGAUAAAAAUUACAGUUUUUAAACAAAAAUUACACUUUUUGGGAGAUAUUUACACUGUUCUCCUCUUAUUGCACUCUUUUAGAUGUAAAAUGCAUCCAUUAAGAUAGAAGUUACACUCUUUAAACGAAAGUUGCACUCUUUGAGAGAUAUUUACACUGUUUCUCCUCUUCUUAUACUUUUUGAGAUGUAAAUUGCACCCCUUUAAGAGAUAUUUAUACUGUUUCUCCUCUUGUUGCACUGUUUUUCCUCUUGUUGCACUAUUUCUCCUCUUAUUAUACUAUUUCUCCUCUUAAAAUGUGCAGUUUAAGAUAAAAAAUAGUAUAACAAGAGGAGAAAUAGUGCAACAAAAAAAAAACAGUGCAACAAGAGGAGAAACCGUAUAAAUAUCUCUUGAAGGGGUGCAGUUUAUAUAUCAAAGAAUGCAAGAAGAGGAGAAACAGUAUAAAUAUCUCUCAAAAAGUGUAACUUUCGUUUAAAGAGUAUAACUUUCAUCUUAAUGGAUGCAGUUUACAUGCAGUUUACAUCUGAAAGAGUGCAAUAAGAGGAGAAACAGUGUAAAUAUCUCUCAAAGAUCGCGUGCAACUGUCGUUUAAAGAGUAUAACUUUCAUCUUAAUGGAUGCAGUUUACAUAUGAAAGAGUGCAAUAAGAGGAGAAACAGUGUAAAUAUCUCCCAAAGAGUGUAAUUUUUGUUUAAAGAGUGUAACUUUUAUCUUAAUGGAUGCAGUUUACAUCUGAAAGAGUGCAAUAAGAAGAGAAACAGUGUAAAUAUUUUUAAAGAGUGUAAUUUUCGUUUAAAGAGUAUAAUUUUCAUCUUAAAGCUGCAAUUUACAUCUUAAGUAGUGCAACUUAUAAUUUUUUUUGCAGUCAACGAUGCAAUUUCAUUUUCAUCCUUUUUUUUCUAUAAAUUUUUAUCUUUAUUUUUUUUCUUACUUCUUCUAUAAUUUUUUUUUGGUCACCCUUCUCUGCCAACGACCACGGCGCCGGCGACGACGACGCUAAGGAGCCCCCGCUUCGACGCUCCAGUGCCGCAGUGACCUCCACGGUGUCGGCAUCGGCGCCGGCGAGGAUGCUCGUCGUCGGAGGCGGCAGAGGAGGAGGGAGAGGGAGAUAAUGAGAAGGGCGGGGAAGGGCGAGAGAGGCGUCGUCGUCGGAGACGGUGGAGGAGAGUCGGAGAGGGAAAAAAAUCCAUUACGAUGUAAACUGGCAGAGACGGGUGCAAAAGGGGCUGUUAGCGGAGGUCGCUACGGUGCUGUAGCCUCAGAGCAGGGGUUCUUAGCGGCGUUGUCGUUGGCGCUGGCAGAGAUGGGUGACAAAAAAAAAUAUAGAAGAAGUAAGAAAAAAAAAUAAAGAUAAAAAAUUAUAGAAAAAGAAAGGUAAAGAUGAAAUUGCACCGUUAAAAUAAAAUUGUACUGUUUUAAAAGAACGUUGCACUAUUAAGAUGUAAACUGUAGUUUUAAGAUGAAAAUUACACUCUUUAAACGAAAAUUACACUCUUUGGGAGAUAUUUACACUGUUUCUCCUCUUAUUGCACUCUUUCAGAUGUAAACUAUAUCCAUUAAGAUGAAGUUACACUCUUUAAACGAAAGUUGCACUCUUUCAGAGAUUUUUAUAUUAUUUCUCUUCUUCUUGCACUCUUUGAGAUGUAAACUGUGACACCCCAAUAAUCCCACAUCGGAUGGGAAUGUGGUUGUCAUUGGGUUUAUAAGAGACUUAGACACUAGUAAUAAUAACUGGGCUUAAGCAUUUUGGGCCGGUUGUUGGGCCCAACGAGUUAUUGUUGCUAGUGGGCUGGGUCGUUACAUUUGGUAUCAGAGCCGGUUCACCAGUUGGACAUGUGUGGCGAGUCUCGGCUGAGCCAGGGUCUGGAUGACGGGCUAGCGAGACGAGUCUCACAUCGCCUGGUGAUCUUGGGCUGUGUGUGUGUUUGGACUGACGAGGACGUUAGGGCCUUAACGGGGGGAGUCUGUGACACCCCAAUAAUCCCACAUCGGAUAGGAAUGGGGUUGUCAUUGGGUUUAUAAGAGACUUAGACACUAGUAAUAAUAACUGGGCUUAAACAUUUUUGGCCGGUUGUUGGGCCCAACGAGUUAUUGUUGCUAGUGGGCUGGGUCGUUACAUAAACUGUGUCUCUUUAAGAGAUAUUUAUACUGUUUCUCCUAUUAUUUCACUGUUUCUCCUCUUGUUGCACUAUUUCUCCUCUUAAAAGGUGCAGUUUAAGAGAAAAAAUAGUGUUGUUUCUCCUCUUGUUGCACUAUUUCUCCUCUUAAAGGGUGCAGUUUAAGAGAAAAAAUAGUGUAAUAAGAGAAAAAAUAGUUAAGUGGUGUAACUUUUAUUUUAAUGUAUACAGUUUACAUCUGAAAGAGUGCAAUAAGAGGAAAAACAGUGUAAAUAUCUCUCAAAGAGUGCAAUUUUUGUUUAAAGAGUGUAAUUUUCAUCUUAAAGCUACACUUUACAUUUUAAGUAGUACAACUUAUGUCCAUAAUAGUGCAACGAUUUUUUAAAACAGUAUAAUUUUCUUUUAACGGUGUAAUUUUAUCUUCAUCUAUCUUUUUCUAUAAAGUUUUAUCUUUUUUUUUUUAUGCUUCUUUUAUAAUUUUUUUGGUCACCCCUCUCUGCCAACGGCCACGGCGUCGGCGACGACGCCGCUAAGGACCCCCCGCUCCAAGGCUGCAGCGCCGCAGCGACCUCUACAGUGUCGGCGUCGGCGAAGAUGCGUCGUCGUCGGAGGCGGCAGAGGAGGAGGGAGAGGGAGAGGUGUAACACACUGGACCUGUGCGAAUUGCGAGGUUCGAGUGUUUGAUGUGGACUCAGAACUUUUCCACACUUGGUGGAAGGUCGUAGAUGGUAUUCCGACCUAAAAGUUCGAUUUCUGAAAUUUUGGCUUAGUCCUGAGAGUUUUCACUCUCGGGGACCCGUCCCUGGUGGGAGAGAUCGGUCCCCUCAGAACAGUGUUGCGGCAGACUUGAGGCAACCGGUCCCUGGCAGUGAGAGACCGGUUCCCGAACGUUGGUUUUGCGGGACGAACAGAGAGACCGGUCCCUGGCAGGGAGAGACUGGUCCCUCCCGGCGAAAACUGCCCAGACCCGGGCUAUGUGCUGUUUGGAUUGUUGAGGGACUUAUCAGGAUUUUGUUACAUUAGAAGGCUUUUAGAGCCUUUCUAUUCUCCCUUUCCCUCAUUUCUCCCAUUCACAUUCACUCUAGAGAGAGAAAGAGAAGGAGAAGAAGAAGGAGAAGGAGAGGAGCUUGCUUGGAGGCCUUGGAGCAUCAUCUUCUUCCCCUCAUUUCUCAUCUUUGGUGGCUUGGAGCUUGCAGUUGGAGCCUUGUGGAGGAUCAAACUCCAACCCUACUUGGUUUAGAGCUUGGAUUGGAGCUUCUCUUGAGGUUGGUAGCUUGUAUUUCCCAUUUAAUAUAAGUUUUUCUAGAUUUUACUAGAUGAAACCCUAGAUUUUGGGAUUUAGGAUUUAUUUUGGGGAUUUCUGAUUUGAGGGCUUUGAAACCUAAUUGAUGGGUUUAGAACCUUUAUGUAGGUUGGAUUUGAAGGGCCCUAACUUCUAUUUGGAGCUUGAGAGAGGAUUUCUUCACCUAGGUGAGUUUUUCUCCACCUUAGCCUAUGUUGCUUAUUGAUUGAGCUUAGGGUUGAUCGUAAGGUUUGUUUGACUCUUGUUCCUACAUCUUUAGGGUGACUAGGAGACUAGUGGACACCUUCUGUGGGUUUGACUUCAUGAAAUCGGGACGAAAUGGCCCCUAAGUAUUCUAUACUUGUCGUAACGUCAAUUUGAUUGCAUAUUCAUGUUAAAUGAGAUUUAUGUAAAUUUUAGAACACUUAAAAUACAUGCCUUAUGUAUCAUGAAAAUUUCACUCUAUAUGGUUGGGCCUUUGGGGCGUUUGCAUGCAUGUGAGGAGUGUUCGGGUUAGCGACUUGGAAACAUGUCUCUUGUGUUAGAAUUUGCUCAAAUUAUGCAUUUGUAAAUAAUAAACUCUUGUUUGGACUUAGUUGACAAAAUGCCAUAAAGAGGCACUUGACAUAGUAAACUAUAAAACUGCAACAUAGAGAUAUAGUGAUAGGCCAUUGAACAUCUACUAUAUUCCAUGUUAGAGACAUGAUGACAUAGAGAUAGGCCUUUGAGGCAUUCGACGUAUAUUCCAUGUUUUUAGAUAUGAGGACUUGGUACUUGAGACAGAUCUUUUGCUUGUUUGCCAUUGUGCUCAUUCGCAUAUACUUGUAAGGGUCGCUCCCUACAAGCCGGCACUCCGGAGAUAGCCAUCGCGACAUAUGCUCGCUCGUGCGGGAUUGGGCGCCGAAAUGGGAUGCCGUGGGGGAAGCUCAUUCCUAGAGUGGGGAUGUUGACUACCACGGGGCCAUUAGGCACGGCGCAGGCCGGACUACCCACGGGUAGGUCCUACAGGAUUGGAUCAUUGAUGACCUAGCAUACUCCCUGGACAUUGACUAGAAUAGUAAACAAGACAUUUUAUUAUUUAGCUUAUGGACAUCAUGCUAGUGACACUUUUGUACAUUCAUGUUAGAAUAGCCUUUAUUUACUUAUGCAAAUUCAUGCUAAGUAGAGAUAUCAUGUUGUAGUAAGUUUACAUGUUUACUUACAUAUUGAUUCUAUUGCUUUUAUUGUUACUUACCUGUUUAGCUCUUUUGGGCCUAGUGGUGCUUUCACUGAAGUCAGUAAUUGCCCACUGGGAACUAUUAUUUAAUAGUUCUCACGCCCUCUGUUUUAUGUUUCCUUUUAAGAGCCUUCGGCACUGGCGGAGGCACGGGAUCGCGGCAAGGGUGUCGCCUAGCUAGAUAGAAAGAAGCUACUAUUGAGCUUAGGUGGUUUACUCUUUCUUUUAUUGUAUUAGAGAGUGAAAGAGAGAUUUUGAGUACCUUGUAUAGAGAGACCACCUAUAUACUUGUUUAGCUUUAAUAUUUGGGAUUCCUAUUGUAUUUACUUUAUGGUUUAUUUAGUGAUUUUAGCUCUCUACUCUUCACACUGCUUUAGAUACUAGAUGUUGUAUAGUGCUCUGAUAUCUCUAGAUCUCCUUUAUUUGCUUUAUUUAUCAUUUUGUUUUAGACGCCUUAUAUGUUUCAGACAUAUGGUGGGUCUGGACACGCGCCGGGCGGGCUUCCGCUGGGUCCUGGGGCGUGACAAGAGGACAAGAAGGGCGGGGAAGGGCGAGAGAGGCGUCGUUGUCGGAGAUGGUGGAGGAGAGUCGGAGAGUGAAAAAAAAAAAGAGUCGCGGCGCGGCCUCAACGAGGUCGGAGGCGAGGAAGGUAGGGGGUGCGUGGGUGAGGGCGAGGGCGAGGGCAAGGGCGAGGGCGAGAGCUUUAGGGUGAGAGACGAGGCGGGCCGUUUCCGCCCCCGCCUCUGCCUCUGUUGCUUUCUUCGCCGAGAGAAAAAAAAAAAUGAACGAGAGAAAAAAAGAGGAGAGAGAAAGAGGAGAGAGAAAAAGUAAUAUGGUUAUUUUGGUCAGUUUGCUGAAAAAGCGGACCGAAUCUGCAAAAAUGAAAAGGGUGGCCCGCUUUUGCAAAGCCCAAAAUAAGUGGAUUUUUUAUGCAAAUUGGCCAAGGUUUUACAUAUAUAUAUAUAUAUAUAUAGUUGGGCUAGAAUAUUAUUAACAAUAUUUAUUUUUUUUUGCUAUCGAGUUUUUAGUUUUUGGAUCAAUUUCUUUGAUCAUUUCUAAUUAUUGGAUUAAAUAUUAAAAUCCAGUGCAGACCACUCAAUCCUAACCAUAGUUAGUUAAUUCGGAUUCGGCAAAAAUUCGGUACAGGUAUAAUUUGGAUAAANUUUUUUUUGCUAUCGAGUUUUUAGUUUUUGGAUCAAUUUCUUUGAUCAUUUCUAAUUAUUGGAUUAAAUAUUAAAAUCCAGUGCAGACCACUCAAUCCUAACCAUAGUUAGUUAAUUCGGAUUCGGCAAAAAUUCGGUACAGGUAUAAUUUGGAUAAAAUUCGACUUCUAAUUUUUAAAUUCGUUGAAAAAUAUGGCUAAAAAACGGAUUCGUAAAUUAUUCGGAUACGUGAUUUAUAUAGAUAUUAUACAUUCACUAAUUAAAAAUUCGGGAUAACAAAUUCGACUAUUAAAUUAAAUUUCUUUUCUCUCAAGAUUUAUGCUAUUAGUAUAAAUAUUCAUAUUUCUUAACAAUAAAAAAAUAAAGAGCUACAAAAUUAAGCUAAUUAAAAAAAAACAUAGCAAACUAUAUUAUGCCUCAAAAUAAAUAAAUAAUUAAGUAAAUAAGUGUAACACACUGGACUUUUGCAAAUUGCAAGGUUUGAGUGUUUGAUUUGUGUUUCGAGCUUUUCCACUUUUUCCGGA